GAUGAACGCUGGCGGCGUGCUUAACACAUGCAAGUCGAACGGGAUCCAAGGGGUGCUUGCACUUUUUGGUGAGAGUGGCGAACAGGUGAGUAACACGUGAGUAACCUGUCCUUUUCUUUGGGAUAAGCAUUCGAAAGGGUGUUUAAUACCUUAUGUUCUGUCUGCCUCGCAUGGGGUGGGUGGGAAAGGCUUUGGCCGGAUUUGGGUGGGCUCGCGGUCUAUCAGCUUGUUGGUGGGGUGAUGGCUUACCAAGGCUUUGACGGGUAGCCGGCCUGAGAGGGUGGUCGGUCACAUUGGGACUGAGAUACGGCCCAGACUCCUGCGGGAGGCAGCAGUGGGGGAUAUUGCACAAUGGGCGAAAGCCUGAUGCAGCGACGCCGCGUGGGGGAUGAAGGCCUUCGGGUUGUAAACUUCUUUUGCUCUGAACAAGGCAUGCCAGUGGGUGUGUUGAGUGUAGGGGUUGAUUAGUGCCGGCUAACUACGUG
rnacentral:rRNA from 1 species